CUGUAUUAAACGUAGCACUUCCUCGUCCUCUGGAGCGCUCGGGUCCUGAGAACGGCUGUAAAGUAUGCGAGUGAAGAUUCUCCCACAUUGCAGAGGUUGCGGAGAGGUCGUGACCUCUGAGGGGAAAGGGGUCAAGAGCGGGCACUCCUCUCCACCUACCGGGCGCAAAACUUUUAAUCAAGCGCCCGUCAAUCACGCUGGAAUUUCACUGCAAGCUUGCACAGAUGGGAUUCGGUUCCCUUUCUGGUGCUCUUGUGUGUGUGUGUGUGUGUGUGUGUGUUUCGCAGUGAGUAAUACACUGUGUUCAGGUCACUGCUGGUGGAAACCGUCGUUCCAAAUGAUGCUUAUCCGCCUGCGUGUUAAAAGUCUGCUGCGUUACGGCAUUGCACGGUAUUGCAUCAUGGAAUCAGGAUGCAUUUGGGGCAGGAUGUGUCUUUCUCAAACGCUUCAAAUAAGAAUAAAAAAACCCCCGGCUGAAACGUUCGUACGUCGAGGUUCGGAUUCGGAGCGUUAUUAUUUGCCGUCGUUAUUAUUCGAAUUCUCCUCUUGGAUGAAUUUGGCGACGACGAGAUGUUUUUCACCUCGUUAAAAAGUGACGCUUUUUAUCCAUUUAUAGUUACGUUUAAUGUUGCGGAACAGCCCUGAAACGAGUUCUGGCGUUAAUAAUAAUAAUAAUAAUAAUAAUAAUAAUAAAAAACAACAACAGCUAGUCACGUUACCAAGAAACCGCAACGUGUAAGACUUUCCUGUAAAGUCAAAGCUUUACGCGCUGACACUGGAGACUCCUUCCGUAAGUGCUGCAUAAACACCUCCUCUCAGAACACUUCACACUACCGGCGAUUGCACGCGUUUUUUUUUUUAUCAGUUCAUGUGAACGAGCUGUUGCUAUAGAAAUGAUAACGUGUUUGGAUGAGCGUGUUGAUAUAAACCUGUCAGAGCUGCUGCUCUAGGGAAUUAAUCAACACCUCCUGACCAAUCAGAUUCCCAGAUCCCAGGGCUGGCGCGUUGUAUGGAAUGGUCACGUGUUCGAUACGAGUCCUGAAAAUAGGAUCCUUGUUGUUUCUUAUCGACAUUCUUUCCAUUCUUUCCGUUCCUUUUGCUCAUCCCUCUCAUCUCGUCGCUCCAGGCCGUCCGCGUUUGAAGUGGUCAGCGUCAGCGGUCAGUCCUCUUUCAGCUCGUCUCUUGUGGAGGGCCGGGCGGAGGAGUGUGUGCUGGAGUGGCACUCGGCUCGUCCGCUCGGCUCGUCCCCUCCGCCGCCUCUUUGAUGCCUUUAUUCGGCGCUGAUGCUCAUUCAGCCGUUAGUCGAGUGGGUGGUGAUUGUUAAGAGGCUCUCAGAGAGGCGAUGCCAGUCCUCCUGCCCACUCCCCGCCUCCCUGCCUCGCCCCCCUCCCCGGGGGGGUGGCCUCUUACUCCGCGCAUCCUUUCAAGUGCGCUUCGAGGCGGGAGGAGGAAGAGCUGGAGCACGCACUGCCUUUCUCUUUUGUUUUAGUUGAUGUUGUUGUUGGUGUCAGUGUCACUUGUAGAGGGUGAAAAGAGUGUGUAGGUUGAUUCGCAUUCAUUCAUUCACUCACUCACACACACACACACACACACACACACACACACACCAGCCUCCCAUUCAUUAAAGUUCAUUCGCAUUCCACUGGAGGCAUUGAAGUUUUCUCAUUCAUGAAGCUUCAGCAUCCUGUAGAGCUCAGCAGGACAUGUAUCCUUGUAUGUAAAUAAGCACACACACACACACACACACACACACACACACACACACACACACACACAUACAGAUCUAAUAUAAUACACAAAGACACACCCACACCCUAGGGUUUGUUUCAAUCUCUGCAUGGGAGACAGCCACCUUACUGCAACAAAAGACGUCACUGACAUCGACUUUCCUACAGGAAAUGGAUUAUAUAAGGAGCGUCACGGUCAUUUUGUCCGAGCGGAUCUUUUGAUCUGGGGCGUGCGAGUGUGCGAAGGACGUAUAUAGUGAGCACUCGUCCUGAUCUCACCAGGUUUUUUCACCGAGAGUAAAAUAAACUUUAUUUACUUUUGCGGUCGUCUCAAAUACAAUAGAAUGCAACACAGUGCAAUAGUAUACAAGCGUAGAUAGGAGUGUGUGUGUGUGUGUGUGUGUGUGUGAGAGAGAGAGAUCAAAGUAAGGUAGCUUCAGUAAGGUACACAGACAUUAUUAGGCAGAUUGGCUCUUUUAUAGUGUAAAUGGUUUCUCGGGCAGCUGGUCUGUGACGUCCGUGUUGAACUCGUCCGCUCCCGUUUCCUCUCAGCCGCGGCGUAACGGACGCUUUAUCGUCGCCUUGCGCGUUUGUCGUCUUUGGGUUUUUCCUCUCCGGCCCUACAGACAUCCUGCUGCGUUUCCCAGAGUAUCAUGACAGCUCUUUAGCAUUUCCUUUACUGCGAGGAGACGGAAAGAGACAGAAACGAGGUGGUCGAGAUGCGCAGCCGGGGGUCGGAGGGUUGUGAGUUUAACGCUCCGGCCACACGCAUGCACGUAUUUCUGAAAACUCUGUGUUUUCACACACACGCACAAAACCUCUCUUGGUAUUCUGUCGUAAACUGUAAACACGUUAUCAAGUGAGAACACAUUUUUGAAAACAUUGUUUGACCCAAAGUGUUGACAAAAUGCAGCGAAAAAACCCCACGUUCUCAAAAAUAUCUGUCUACAUGUGGGCGGGGCCUGCGUCAGGUAUUACUAUGUAUCCUCCUUAGUUUUUUUUCUUCUAUGGAUUUGUACCUACAAUGUUAAUAUACUAUAGCUAGUUAGUUUUAUUAAUAUAUUAUAUUAUAUACCUAGUUUUUUAUAUUAUAGGGUUUUUUAAAAAAAAUAAUAAACAUAUCAAUCAAAAGUGAGCUGUAAUAUCACUCGAGUCGCCUCUAAUGCACAGUUCCCGCCUUCAAACUUCUUUAGGCCACACCUCCUGCCUGAGACUGUGUGUGUAUGUGUAUGUGUGUGUGUGUGUGUGUGUGUGUGUUGGGCAGAACUAAUUCCCUGGGUAAUUAAUCACCUGUGCCUGUCAGUCCCGGUAAAGGAGGCGUGGCUUGUCCUAGUUUUGAGCAGUUCGUCUGAGAUUUACAGGCUUUUCACGUGUGGUUUUGACCACCGUGUGAAUUUCGACACUCGAACCCAAAAGAAAUCUUUCAGCCCUGGAAACCGGGGAAGAAAAACCCCUCGGGCAGACGUCAGUACAAUGUUCUGUGUCAGGUUAAACGGACAUAACGGUCAAAAUAAAGUAAACCGCAGUGGUGCCGUAGUUCUACUGCAGUAACGCCGCUUCCUCUAAUCCGUAAUUCAGCCCUUAUUGCUUUAGACACCGGGAUCCAUUUCCUCGUUGAGACGUUUAGAAACGUCUGUCAGUCCUCAUCGGGUUCCUGGUUGUGCCCCGAGGACUUUGGCGGCGUGUUUGGCGUUAAGGUGGGGAUUGCGUAAGCCGCGGCGGCUCCAAAAAACGCCGCCGAAGUCACAGAAAGAAUCGUUUCAGUCGCUGCUAAUCGGGGCUGAGUUGUGAGCUAAAGUGCGUGUGUGUGUGAGGAGGUGAGAGAGUGAGACCACUGUGUGGAUUCGGGUUCUUGCGGUUUGAAGUUUCACUCGCUGCUCGGAAAGCUUUUACGACGGUCUUUAACGAUGUAAGACAAACCGCACGUUCCACAAAUCGUAGACCAAAUCGUGUAACUCGGAGGAAAGUCCUCGCGUAUACACCCAGACACCACAGCACUCUCGUUACACAGCGUUCCUCAGAGGUGCUUUCACUGCUUAAACUCUUCUUUAAGAGCUUCCUGUCUGUUGCGCGGCUCCGUUGUGCCCGAGAAACCAACCCAAGCGUGGUACCUUCUUAGAUUUCUGAAGGAUUUAACAUGCAGGAACGAAAGACAACAAAAAAGGGUUCCGGGAGAACUUUUUCUGUGAUACUCGCCCUCACACAGUUCUGUGCUUGAGCUCGUCUCCUGCUUGCUCUCUCAUUAGCAUCGUACUCCGUUUGCACUGGUAUGGUACCAGUGCUGGUUCUGAGUUCAGCACCAAAUCUCGCCAGACUCCGGCGCUCUCGGUUUCCGUAAACAUCGGCGUUCACCGUACAAGUCCCUGUGAGCGAGCCGUCACUAUAGAGACGAUGACGUAUUCAAACAAGCGCGCUAGAAUGAAAUGGAAAGAUCUGUCAUUCCCACAUCUGAUCACGUUGAAGUUCGGCUCCUGACGUGAUGAAAAGCGGGUCGGUUCUGAACCCGAGAGCCUGGAGUUAAACCUCGACUGCUCUGCUCUGUUCUUGGAGAGGAUUUGUUUGCAAUAAAAGUUUCUGCCAAAUGAAUAAACACGAAGAUAAAACGCCAGACUGUGAGAACGAACUGUUGUUCGUUCUUUUAAGGAAUUCCAGCACGGUUCUGAGUGACGGCAGCACCCGGGUCGAUUCUGGGCCUCGUGAUUUAUGACAUUUCAUUAAACAUUUGCAUGCACGUCGGCCAAAUCCAACACCUUCCUUCCCUCAUCUCGGCCACGUUCUCUCUGCCAGAGAAAGAUGUGUGAAAAUGAUCAAACCGAACAGGAAACCUGUCCACCGGAGGGAAUAUAAGGGAGUUAGAACCUGGUACUGGGAAUCGUUUGAUCUUUUCUGAUGGAGGUCGUUGAUGUCUUUUAAAUCUUUAAGCUGACAUUUUAUCCACUCGCAAUUCCUGCAGGGGAAAUGAUUCCCCGUCUCAUCUCCCCGUCACCUUUCUCCUCCGUCCGAGUCCGAACGCAUCACGUCUGCGUCUGCGUCUCCACGUCUCGGCUCGAGGACUCGGAAACCGGAGCCGCGCGUCAGCUCUGGACGCCCUGAGUCCUGCGGUGCAGCUGGGUCUGCUCGUGCCAGACGCUGCCGGAUCUGCAGCACACACUCGUUUAUUAGUCUGAUCUGAAAGGGAAAUAAAAGCCCGGGCACGUUUCCAGUUUUUAACGUCUGCACGCACAAACAUCUCACGAAAUGUUGGAUAUGUUUUUUUUUGUUUUUUUGUUUUUUUAUCAAACAUGCAGGAUGAUGAUUAAAUACGGAUCGAUAUUAAACAGGUGUUUACGUUUAAUCUGCGUUCUCAUGGAUGGGGUGAGUGUUUUAUUAAAUUCAGGUGAACAUGGAGGGUAAACCAUAAUAUAAAUAUUAAAAGGGAUGUAGAAAUUCGGACAUUUUAAUAGAUCGCGAGUCUGUUUUUGUUUGUUUAUUCAGUUAUAGUGCUUGUUGCUGAAAUGUAAAACUUAAAAAAAAAAAUAUAUAUAUAUAUAUAUAUAAAUAAAUGUUGAAUUGUUAAACUAAAAACUGUAAUGAAUUUGUAUUUAUUAUCGGUGUUGGAGAUGUGAUGGUGACGGUGAUGGUGAUGAAACGCUGGAUCGGUUCCGGAUCGGAUUUUCUGCUUUAACUCUUUCACUAGUAGCUGAUACUCGGAGCGCUGAUUUUUGGAAACGUGGAGGGAAUGUAAAGCCGUAAAGAGAUUAGUGGAUAGUGAAUAGUCAUUUUUAGUUAUACUGAAGUCAGGGUGUGGUCUGAGACUGUGUGUGUGUGUGUGUGCGUGUGCGUGUGUAAGAGAGAGAGAGAUAAAGUUGCACAGUAAUCCUGUUUAAUGAAACUCAUUUCUCUGUAAUCCACUGACAACUCAAAUGAUACGCACACACACACACACACACACACACACCGCACCACCCUGUGUGUGUGUGUGUGUGUACAGUAUCUGCAUAGAACUUGUAUGAGAGGUUCCCAUAACCGUGUGUGUUUUUAACAUCUCGGUAUAAACACUGAACCUUUCCUUUCUUCCCCUCACACGUUGACGGCCGACCCGUCUGUUUCUUCCUGACCCACGACUAAAACCGGCUCCGCUUUUGGCAGCAUGAGUCUUGCUUCCCACCUGCGGCUCACCUCACACGCUCGAGUCGUAUCCUUCCAUCUUGUUUUCCGUCCUCUGAGCCUUAUUUUGUUGAAAUGUGCAUAUUCAGGAACGUGGAGGCUUCUAGUGUUUCACUGCCUCGGUGUGCGACUUCCACUGGAACGGAGUUUCACCUUUUAUAGCCGUUCGCUGGUCCUAAAUCACUCACUGUGUGUGUGUGUGUGUGUGUGUGUGUGUGUGUGAGAGAGAGAGAGAGAGAGAGAGAGAACUUAUGUUCCUGAUCUUGAUUUGAUUGAUUGAGCGCUGCAUUAACCGCUACAGAAAUUAAUUGAGCUUCUCUUCAACGUCUUGCGUCCCUCCAUUACCCCCCACCCCUCCUCCCCCCUCCCCCAGGAGGCAGCUUGCGGUCGCUUUUUCAUGAUUGGUCGAGCGACUGAAGUGUUUUGGUUGAAAUAUGGCCAGGCCGUCACUCCCUCUACCUGCCGCUUAUCUCUCUGCAGAAAUUCACGACGUGGAUCUCUGGCCCUCGCCCAGAUCAGAUUUGCAUAUCACCCUGUGUUCAGAGAGCCAGGAGCCUCGAUUCGAUCGAGAUAAAGUCGUUAAAGGUGGAAGUGGCGAGGACUGGCGUGUAAAGAUCAGAGCGGAUCGCACGCAGCUUGCAGACCAAACCCUCAGCAGCUUCUCACACGCAACAAGGGACAAACACCGUUUUUUGUUUACUUUCUCAUCAGGAAAUGCUUUUUCAGUUUUUAUCUCGUGAUAAGUGCGUGAUACGAAACAUCAUGGGUAGUCUUUCAAACCCAGAGACGUCGUAAAUCCGCCAGGUUGUACAGAUUUACACUGAGAAAAUGGCCUGUUUUUUAAAAAUUUCAUCAGACCGAAUAGUUUUCAUUUUAUAACGAAUUUAAAACCCGUUUGGGUGAAAUGAGAGAUUCUUAUCUGGCAACCCUAAAGGACGAGUUUCCACUGAUAUCAUCUUACAAAAGAACACUUCACGACCCGAUACAAGUUACGAUAUUAACUUGCUAGCUAGCUAUCUAGAGGUGAUGUAGCGUAUGUACAGUUACUGAAUCGAUAGAUUCUAAGCUAGCUAGCUAUCUAGAGGUGAUGUAGCAUAUGUACAGUUACUGAAUCGAUAGAUUCUAAGCUAGCUAGCUAUCUAGAGGUGAUGUAGCGUAUGUACAGUUACUGAAUCGAUAGAUUCUAAGCUAGCUAGCUAUCUAGAGGUGAUGUAGCAUAUGUAUAGUUACUGAAUUGAUAGAUGAACCACUUUAUUCAAUACCAUAUUUUACCAAACGCUUUAUUUUAUACAGUAGAAUAGAUUUUAGCUAACUACCAAGUUGACUAGCUAGCUUAUUCAUUGGCAAGCUAACACAAGCUGAUGAUUUCAGUCUGAUCCUGUCUAAAAUAAUGGGGUGUAAUGUUUUGGACUGAUGCGUCAAAGUAAAAGGGAAACGUAGAAAUGAAUCGCAACAGCUUGUGUGUAAAAAUAAAUAAAUAAAUAAUCUGAUUUUUAAACUGUAAACAGGCUAGCAAGGUGAUUUACCAUUCUGUACAUCAUCAUCGUUCUUGAAUUAACGUUACUCCUACCCCAGAUUCUGAACAAAGUCGGUCACGUAUCAAUCACGUAUCGACGCAGACUCGACGUCUGAGGUUAAGAGACCUACUCUGAAUGUUACAACAAACAGAAUGAAGGGAUCGACUGUAUUUUGGGAGCACAAACCUUGCCAAAAUCUCCCUAGCAAUCUUGCGCAUGUGAAUUUUUGUGACUUAUAAUCAGUCACGGCCUCACGUCUGUCCCCGGAGCCUGUUGCUACUCGUUUUACGUUUCUGAAACGUGAAAGUCGUGUGCGUGUAAUCGUCUCGGAAAUGCCCUCGGGUUGUAUUGCGCACAGCUAGAUCUGACGUUCCAGCUUUCCCUUCAUUCCGAAGCUGCUUUAUCUCCAGCGUUUUAUUGGACUGACUGUAUAUCUAUGGCCGUUUAUGAGCCUCUCCGUAUUUGGACGCCUGAACAGGGCCAACAAUAACACGGCAUAUUAAUUGCUAACUCUCUGGCUUGCUGGCUUUGUGUGCGCUUGGCAUCGGGUGGGAAGGCCAUUAAUCUCACCCGGCGAACAAGGGGACGCUCUCAAUGGAUGCUGUUCCGCCCAUUUUAUGCUUCAUUCUCAAAACCUGGAAAGCCACUAAAGAGUGUGAGAAAGAAAGAGGUUCCUCUUAACUUGAUCUUUCCGAAGCGUGACCGGAGACCCUGAUAGAGAGAUCUUGGCAUCGGUGGACGAGGGAAGGAGUGCAUUUUACCCACUGCUGAAACCAAAUGGGGGUUUAAACGUAUUUGUGCUUGUUCUUGUACAGUUUGUGCGCUGUUUAAUCGCUUGUCACUUGAGUUUGCACCAAAGUGUUACGAAGUCUAAUGAUAGAGUGGGGUUUGUCAACAUUAAGUUGUAAGCUUAAACGCAAAGUACAGCUGGAAGACACGUCAGGCGUGGGUAUAAUGGAAUUUUGGCAUUAAAUAUGUGUUGGGGUGUACAGGGGUGCACAUUUUUGGCGUGUUGAAAAGCCAGAACCUCGAGUGUCGAUGUGGGGUUCUUCCUGGUUCUCUGGUUUCCUCCCACCUCCCAAAAACAUUGGCAGUGGUUUGGAAAAUCUCUAAAUUUCCCCUGGGUAUAAAUCCGUGUAUAGAGUGGUUACUGGAGGCCAUUUACUUUUUCACUAUGUCGAAGUUGUUAUUCUUUGAGCCCAACAGGAAAAUGGCGCCUUCGUUUUAAACGUCCUUCUUCUCACGUGUCUUUGCCCAGAGGGACUGACAGCUUUGGGUCAGGGGUCAGCCACGAGGUCACAGUUUAGGAUGUCUGCCGUGUCAGUCAAGCACGAUUGGAUGGCGUGUCUGCCAAUCAAACCCCACUGGAACGAGCUCUGACAGGUUCUCAGGAUGGAGAUUUUUAUUAAGGUAGUCUGGGGCUGGAGGAUAUUAUCGGUCUGAUCUUGACGGACGUAAAUCUGCAGGUCUGUCUUUGUUGUUUAUCUUUUACCUGUAAUGUGUGAGAAGGGUAAAGGCAAGAGCACACCACCAUGACGUUCUUCAAUCUGUGUGUGAUUGCCGAGAAAUUUUUACACUGGUUUGUUCAGUCCUUUGGGCGUGUCUGCUCCUCUGCUAAACAUUCUACAGCUAAAUCUUUUUGCUUUUCUUUUUUGGUGUGUAGGGGAAAACAUGACCUUGCCUCCAAGCCCAAGUGUGUGCAGGACAUGUGUGCACGAUGUCAUAUAAGGGUACGACUUGCUCGUGCCCCAGAGCUCACCCCACGGCUCAGAGGAUUAAUGUCAGUCUGUGCAGACAGCAGAGGAAAGAGAUUGAUUCUAUUACAGGAGCUUUCUACAGCUCGGGAACGCAGCAGGGGACUGCAGACCAAGGUAGAGAGGAAGUGACCAAAUCUUGCCCUCGGGUUGAACAUGGAGACUUGAUGCCAAGUUUGCUCAAAUAACAUCACAGACCUGCUGAAAAGGCAACGAAGCAAUUGGGAAUAUGAAAAUAGAAUAUUGUGUGUGCAUGAUUAUGGGUGUAGUGAUGCACAGAAGCACCGAUGUAUUCAUUGUAGUGUUGGGAUUUUUAAAAAAAAAUUGGGUUAGUCAGAAAAUCUGACUAGGGUUCCUCAAGGGUUCUUGGGAUGGUUUCUAAAGCUUUCUAAAGGUGUUUUGGAUCAUUAUGUGAAAAGACAAGCCAUCUGUUGUAGAGUAGGGUUCUACACCGAAUCUUCAAGGGUUCCUGCUGAUGCUACAAACCAAAUUACCAUUUAGGGCUUUCUAAAGGUGCUUUGUAACCUUUUAUGAAAGAAAAACCAUCUGUUAUAGGGUUCUAUGUAGAAUGCUUACGUGUUCCCACCAGGGGUACAAACUGUUGGACUCCUUAUGGCUUUCUCAAGAUGUUUUGGAACCUUUAAUGAAAGAGAAAUCAUCUGUUUUAGGGUUCUUUUCAAGGGUACAAACCAAAGGCCCGCUUACGGUUUCUAAAGGCACUUUGGAACCUUCCUUAAUAAAGACACCUUCUGUUGUAGGGUUCUACAUAGGAUUUUUUUAAUGGUGCCCACUGGGGGUUCAAACUGAAGGACCACUCGGGGCUUUCUAAAGGUGUUUUGGGUCAUUUUAUGAAAGAGAAGUCAUCUUUGUAGGGUUCGACAUAGAAUCGUUAAAGGGUCCGACUAGGGGUACAAACCGAAGAACCCUUAAUGGCCUUCUAAAGGUUCUUUAGAACCCUUUAUGAAAGAUAGAGUUGAAGGGUUCUCGUCAGGGAUGCAAAAUGAAGGACCGUUUAAGGCUUUUUAAAGAUGUUGUGGAAUCUUUUAUCAAAGAGAAAUCAUCUCUUCUAGGUUCUACAUAAUAUCUCUAAGGUAGUGCAAAACGAAGAACCAUAUAGGGUGCUAAAUGUGUGUAAAAAAUUAUUAUUAUUAUUAUUAUUAUUAUUAUUAUUAAAGGUUUUCCUCAAAAUUCCAGUGCAUCAUUUAACUGUUCUCAGCUUCCUAAUGAUGUACUAUUACCUGGGAACCAUCUCUGAUAUGGGUUUGCAUACGGUUAUUUAAGAAACCUUCAAUUAAUUUUACAAGUGGAGUGUAUGUUUAACGUGGUUACUAACCUGUCCAUCCAAUCCAUGUGUCUGAAGAUAAAUUCGGAGCUUUUAAAACAAGUCAACAGCACGAAACAUACUCCGAGACGUGGAAGAUAGUGAGACGUGGGAUGUCCCUCUUGGAGAAUCCCACAUAGAACCCUACAAAAAAUGUGUCAGAAAGGAUUUCACGGAUGCUACAAACCCUGAACUACCCCAAAACCUUGAAGAACCCUUUGUUUACCCUCAGAGUGUAGCACCUUCAAGAUGAGGCCAAAUUAAGCCAUGAAGUUCUGGAUGUCUGGUGGAGGAUUUGGAUGAUGAAAGCCUUGGACGGGGGAGGCAGUGGACUUGCAUGCCAAUGCUUAACUUAAAAAAAAAAAAAAAAAAAAACAGGAGGGGGAAAAAAGCUGUGGAAUUAUGGGACCACUCUAAUCUGUGCAGAUGUUUAGGAAGACGAAUGGAGCUCCGAUCUUGCCUAUGCCCUGCAAAGAACGAGGCCAAUGAACUCUUAAGUGCAUUUGGGAGUACACAUAGGAAGAGAAAUAUGGCUUGGCUGGUGUCCUAAUAUUCCACAGGGUUCUCACUAAAUUCCCAGUGUAGCGCAGAUAAAGCCCAGCGGAGUCAGGGGCUCUGGGUUACGUCUCAAUGUUUAAUCUAAGUCUCAUAUGGGAUUGAUUUUAUACGGGGUUUGGAAGCUUUGAAUUAUAGACGUCACAGUAAAUAAAAACCUCUUCACUUUUCUACGGUGUAUUUUUAAAUAAAAAAAUACAUUUUUUUGCCAAAGUUUUUUCUUUGUUUUGAAAAAUGUACGGGUAAAAUUUACCUUCACAGACAUAUUCGAAAUGAUGGAUUACAGUUUUGAAGAAAAAAAAAAAAAAAAAACCCUCUGAAUCCUAAAUACAAAUGUUCAAAUCUGCUAGCGUCCACGACGUGAAAUGAAUUGAAGAGAUGUGGAGUAGAGUCGAGUCAAAAUGGAUGAUGUAAUCUUCCACUUAGCAAGUUCAAAACAAAGAAAAAGCACUGUACAAUUUACGAAAUAAACCACAGAGAAAAGCUCAUUUUCUUUACAAAGGUCGAGAUAUAAUGCAUGAAGCAAAAGCCUAAAAUCUAGCCGGUUGCCUUUUUCCAAAGUCGUACUCUCAGUGGGGGUUUUCUGAAGGAUUUGGAAGAAAGUUGAAUGUUGAAACGUGAAUCUUUCUGUGAAACGGCACUGAAUCGUUUCGGUUCUCUCUGCUCGUUGUGCUCCGGGGGAAUGGGAGUCGGGCGUAUUGAGUGUUUUCUGGUUGGACGCAUGGCUCUGGGAAAACAAGAUGAUUUCCAACAAUUGCUAAAUGCCUCUGGGAUCUGUGUGACCCACUGUGUUCGUGUGUUUCUGAUUGAUGAACUCGCUCGAAGUGAAUUUUAUAUUGGACAGGGAUGGCAGUUUGUCCCAGUUUGCCUUGUGACCUCACAAUGGAGGCCAAUGUUGUUGUUAUUUUUUUUCUUUUUACAUCAUUACUCGGUCGUGGAAAUCGAUAGAACCUUUGGGAAAACCUUUCUAUUCUCUCUAACCGCGUCCUCUGCACAGAAACGCCGUCCUGGGAGCUUUACGACGCCACGUAUGUGUCCGAGAUCGAUUUGUCCACGGCUUCCAUGUGUCUCCGUUUCUGCUCGGAGUCUGACAGUAGUGUUUCGGAGAGCUCUGGGUAACUUCUUGUCAUCUGAGGCUUUAGUUCGGGUGAUGGAGCUUCAUUAUCUGUCUCAGACGGGCUUGUUAAGUGAGUGACACUGAAGGAACUUGCGUCUGUGUGCCUCGGACGUCUAAUCACGCAGUUGAUAAGCGUGGUAACGAUAACAGCAGAGAUAACUCUGAUGGACUUCUCUAAGUGGCUAAUAAGAGAGGCUUACGGUGUCAGGGAUGGAAAGAAGACCACCAAAGGUGUGGUGUCCGUUCAGCUUCUUGAACUAUAAAAAAAACAAAUCCUAAUCUUAAGAACAUUUUUUUUUAAUCCUUGGCUGAGAUAGAAAAAGGUCAUGGACUGAUGCAGAGAUGAUGAGGUAGAGUCUGAUUUUUGGAUGGAACAGCAAGUGUAAGAUCUGUGAUUAUCCGCUGCUUUUCUGGUGAUGUCAUCUUUAUGGAAGAUUUAAGAAAAAGCUAAAUGGAUAUAUAUUAGGAUCAAGAGUCGUGUUCGAGUGGCUGUUGUUGUUGUUGCUUCUGGGAUUUGAACUCACAACCUUAACCACUGUGGCGUAAUACUCGACCCAGUACUGUGAAGCAGGGAUGCACACCAGAGCAAACACUCUACAUUCCAAAGUUCUUUCACACCAAACUUCAGGAUGUGAAACGUGGAUUUUUCCAGACCGGACAGCUAUGCUAAGCUAACACGCUAAGCCUGCACCCUGUUGACUUGCUGUUGAUCAUCAUUAAAAUUGGCCCACUUAAGAGAAUCACUUAAGAGUGCUCAGUCGCUCACGAUCGAUCUCUGGAUUGUGUUCAUGGAGCCAAACGAGGCCAGCUGGAUGUUUUUUAUUGAUUCAGCGGUGUCAAGGGCCGAGAGCCACCUCACUUGUCCCUGCUGAACAGUCAGUCUUGUGGAUGUUCUGGUUCAUAGCCUGAACGUAUCAAAGCACAGUUAAAAAAAAAAAGCAAAACCCAACAACAAAGGUAAUUCACCCAGCAGCAGUUUGCAACACAAACGAGAAUGAAAAACGGUUCUUUUCCCGUCGUGUGGAUCACCUGCUCACCGAACACCGAGCGGUGACGAAUUGCACCAAUCUGAGGCCCCGUUUCGAGUUUAAACGCUCUCAGAUCUCCUAAGAUAACAUAACAAAUAGCAGAUUGAACCCACUAAUUGUGGCAUGUUUUUGCGGUGAAAAUGUAACAUUCUAUACCUUAUCAUUUUUUCCCCCUUCUAUUUGAAUUCAUCUCGCUAUUCAGAAGUGAGAUUCAACCUGAGGCUUAAAAGCGCCAACGCAUGACAUCAUCUAACACACGUGCGCAAACACGCGGCUUGUGGGUCGAGUGUUAAUGGCGUCCUGAGAAAAGACUGAUUACAGACUGAGUGCACGUGCUAUCAUUAUGUAUAGUGACUUGAAGUUAACGUUUCAGCCUCCUGUAGCCGGGUCUUUUCGUUUUACUGGGUACAAGGCCAUUGUACAUCUGAAAACUACUACAAGGGCAAAGGAUGCAGGAUGGAGAAACACUUCUAAUCGCGGUUACUAUGAGUCCUAGAUGCAGAACCAAAACUCCAGGGGGUGGAGCUGGACCAGAUCCAACUCCUCCUCCGAACCCUAACUUAGGAGAUGCUGUACAACACGGAACAAGAAACCCUUUGACUUGUCCACACACACCGGAUGUUUGGUCCAGCUUUACCAAGGUAGGAGGAGCUGAUCAGGUCCGACUCCACCCCCUUAACUUUUGGUCCUACAGCGAGGGGUACUUUUGCUUUGCACCAAUUUUAUCUAGCUAAUGCAUGCUAGGCUUUUCUUUUCAGCAAUGUCAGCACCAUAACAAUGGCUCAAUAAUUCACGUAGCCUUUUUGCUGACACUUCGUUAAUUUGCUUGAAAUUUCCCACACACCGAGAAGGACACAGAUCCGGAGUCUGUCUGAUAGACCUGCUCCUCUUCAGCCUGUCCCCGCUAUUAGGGACACUCUGUCUGAGAGCAGAAGCCAGAGAUAGACAGGCUUUUGUUCACACGCGCAUGAUUGUCCUCGUUCUCACUCUGCCGCUUGUCUUUGCUGUGGUCACGAUGGAAGGAGAUUACAGACCACAAGCAGCGAGCAGCUAAGUCGGCUUGACCCGGGAUACCCCCACGCUUAUCAUGUCUGCAGUGUCCUCUUCUCUCCUCUUCUCUCCUCUUCUCUUCCUGUUUCAUUCAGUGGUCAGGGAUGCUUAAGGUAUCUACUGGGAGUGUUUGUUGGAUUCGGAUGGAAACUGAGCCCCAGGUGGGUGAUGGGCGUGUCUUGUUUUCUAGUCUAGAUUUCUCUCCACCUCUUGCUUGAGGGUGUCGUGGCACUCCAGUUUCGACCGUGAUGGGGGUGACCUUGACAAGACGUUGCUAAUGUGAGACGGAGGAAAGGGGCUGGGCGUUCCAGUGGGUCAGUUAAUAUUGGAGAGUUCAGAACACCUAUGCAACUGUUAAUCAUUCAAGAUUCAAAAGUUGACUGGCUCAUGUGCUGUUUUCACGGUGGACUGAGUGAUAACUCGUAAUGGCAUAUCCUCUUAGGAUAGUUGUGUCUACUUGAACAAAAAACGGUCUAACCUGCAACCAAGUGCUAACCUGGAACUUAUGACAUUUACAAACCGUCUUCGCUUCUUAUUGGGCAGCGGUAGCUCAGUGGUUAAGAUUGGAAGGUUGCGAGUUCAAACCCCAGCAAUUCCAAGCCUCCAGUUCUGGGCCCUUACCCCUCAACCGCUCUGUUGUAGAAACCAGAUAAAUGUAAGUCACUCUGGAUAAGGACGUCUGCCAUAAAUGUAAAUGUUUUUUUUUUUAUUUAUUUUUUUUUUACAGAACCCCAAACAGAGGUAAUUCUCACCAGACUGAUCCGUACUAGUUAACCCUUCAGGAACGCCCUAGUAGAUUAAGGGUUAACACCAGGCACGCUUUCCUUUCCCAUGGGAGUGUGGUGGUGUUGACGAGGGGCUCCGUUUGUUAGCAGCUAAUCGCCUUCCUCACGGAUGAGUGGCUCCUGAAAGUGACUCAGAAAAAUGAUCGGAUGGAUGGCCCUGUUGACACGAGCGUGUGAAACCCCCCCAAAAAAAAGAAGCCCAGAGUAAUCUCACUUCCUUCCUGUUCGGUCUGGGAAACCGGGUUGAUCAUUGGUCCUCGUUGGCACCUGGCUCUUCCCCGAUAGGCCAACGGUGCAUGUCAUCCUAUCAGCUCUGUCUAUUUAGAAGGAAAAAAAAAACGAAAGAAUGUCGUGGACAGAAAAGCGCCCGAAGCCUGCCGCCCACGGGCAUGAGAGGAAAAGCUGACGCUGGGAUUUUAGAGGAAAGAUCUCACUCGAACACACAAUGGCUACCAAACAGGAAGUGGCAGAACAAUCUUUCGCCCACUCCGGCCGUGUUGUGACCUCCAGGGCUGCAGCAGCGAUAACCCGGCAUUCCUGAAACCUCGCUGGGUAGGACGCUGGGAGCUUUCUCUUGCUCCCGGGUCACCGGAGGUCACCUUCCUGCUUCUUUUACGGCUGUAAAUCAGUCGCGCUCCUUGUAUUCGUUCAGUCUACAUCAUUUAACAAAUAUUAGUCAAUGAGCUGAGAUGACGUACAAUGUGCGAGACUCCCAGUUUUACACCGGAACACUUUAACACUGUACAAGCUUUCACAGUCUUCAAAACAUUUACAAUGCAACGACAGUUUGAAUAAUUAGAUGGGAUUGCAACAACUUAAUGACGAUUUCUCACACAGCUAAAGAGCUUAUGGUUUGAAAUAAUAUAUUGGCGAAUAAAUAACGGAAUGAAAACAGCACUCAGACUUUUGGACGCUACCGUACGUCCACCCCUGGGAUGUCACAGGAUGAAGUGAAGUGUUGUAGAAACCGGGGCGAAAAAAAGCUGACCUCCUGAAAGUUCACCUCCGUGUCCUCAAUAAAACUCCCUAACGCUACGCCCCACCCCUUCCUGUUCCAGUUUCCGACUCGGCUGUACCUCGUAUCUCCCACUUUCCUCUUGUCCUUGUCAUGUUUAUUUGCGGAGGGCAUUGUGUGCUUGUUAGCCGUGAUGUAUUGUCUUCAUCCUGCUAAACAAUGCUGCCGAUUGCUUCCUGGGAAUGUUUAAGGACACGGACACAGGCGUCCUCCGUCUUGGUGCGAACUCGCAUGGCCUCGGUGUCACGUAAUAACUCGCGCUGUACUUACCUCCGUGCUGACUAGUUCAUGAAUAACCGGAGAACCGAUACGUUUUGUUUUGUCCUCGCAGAAUCCGACAGCUCCAGAGGAAACGCGUGGGAUCUUGUACAGGAAAUGGACGCGAACAGGGGAGUAACGAAGACUUUGAUAACAGGAAAUGAUUCAUUCAAAAUGUCAAAACCGGUAUUAAAAGGAAUAAAAUAAUAAUUGAUGAGACACGGAAAUCAGGGAUUCCUGGCCAUGUGAAUCUAAUCAUAAGAGAGGAUCGAUGAUCCUUCACUUCAGUCUUGGAAUGAUCAAAGUCCCUGACUUUGAGACAUGGAUACGGGCGGGAUAUGGUCCUGGGGCGGCUGUGGAUCAGGUGGUAGAGCGGGUUGUCCAGUUAUCGUAGGGUUUGCGGUUCGAUUCCCGGCUCACGUGACUCCACAUACCGAAGUGUCCUUGGGCGAGACCCUGAACCCCAAGUUGCUCCCGAUGGCAAGUUAGCGCCCUGCAUGGCAGCUCUGCUCCCAUUGGUGUGUGAGUGUGUGUGUGAACGGCUGAAUGAGUGUAAAGCGCUUUGUAGAACCGCCAAGGUUAAAAAAAAAAGCGCUACAUAAAUGCAGACCAUUUACUGUAAGCUCACGUCACCUUAAGCGACACAAUGAAUAAUAAUUUGUGGCUUGUGAAAUAUUAAUAUGCGGUUUGAAUAUGUUCAUUUGUGUAACCACCAUGUCACCUCAGAUGCGUCUUCAUUUCCUUUUCAGAACGUUUCUGGUCUGAAUUCCGAACACGCGCGAUCGGAAGUGCGCGUCAUGUUUCCAGACGAUCAUAAACGAUGCUCCGUUGCAUGUCACACACUGUUAAACGAUGCUCGUUACACACUCGCGAGUGAGCAGGCGGCGUUUUCGGGGCAGUGUUUGUGUUCUCUUAUUCAGAAAGAACCUGUUUUUUCGCUCGGAAGGCAGACAAACCGUCACAACCUGGGUCUGGGUUUUAGGAAUCCGAAUAUGAGACGGGACUACAUGAAGAAAAAGUGGCCAAGGUGAACACGUCAUGCGUGCGCUGACAGGGGGUCAGAGGUCAUGAGGCAAAAGCAACAGCCACCUGGAGAUGCGGAUUAAUUUGGGAUUAUCGCUCGGG
ensembl:lncRNA